UUAGUUGGUGGAGUGAUUUGUCUGGUUAAUUCCGUUAACGAACGAGACCCCCGCCUGCUAAAUAGUNCUGGGAAUGCUUAGCAUUGCCAGCGACUUCUUAGAGGGACUUUCGGCGCUAGGCCGAAGGAAGUUGGGGGCAAUAACAGGUCUGUGAUGCCCUUAGAUGUCCUGGGCCGCACGCGCGCUACACUGAUGCGUUCAACGAGUUUAUAACCUUGUUCGGAAGGACCGGGUAAUCUUGAAAUGCGCAUCGUGAUAGGGAUAGAUUAUUGCAACUAUUAAUCUUGAACGAGGAAUUCCUAGUAAACGCGAGUCAUCAGCUCGCAUUGAUUACGUCCCUGCCCUUUGUACACACCGCCCGUCGCACCUACCGAUUGAAUGAUUCGGUGAAGCUUUCGGACCGUGCCACUAGCUUCGGCUGGCGGCGUGGGAAGUUAUCUAAACCUCAUCAUUUAGAGGAAGGUGAAGUCGUAACAAGGUUUCCGUAGGUGAACCUGCGGAAGGAUCA
rnacentral:rRNA from 2 species